GAGAGCGUUUAAGAAGAAACUUGGAAUCAAUUGAUGAUGAUUGAUGAUGCGGCAGCAAGAGAGAAAACUUUUUUUUAAUAUUAUUGAUAGAUUUAUCGAUAGGUAUACACUUAUAUUAACUUACAUUUUAUUGGUUCAUAAAUUAGAUCUCGUCAUGCGCAAGAUGGGGUUCUCAGAGACAUGGAUCACCUGGAUAAUGCGGUGUAUUACGUCGGUGAAAU
rnacentral:lncRNA from 1 species